rnacentral:rRNA from 1 species
CAGAAUCCCCGAAUGUUACCCGGAUUUAUUGGGCGUAAAGAGUCUGUAGGUGGUCUAGUAAGUUCAAGAUUAAACCUCGUCGGCUUAACCUUCGAGCUGUUUUGAAUACUGCUAGACUCAGAGGGCGUUAGAGGCAAACGGAACCGACGGAGUAGGGGUGAAAUCCGUUGAUAUCGUCGGGAACACCAAAAGCGAAGGCAGUUUGCUGGGGCGACCCUGACACUGAGAGACGAAAGCGUGGGGAGCAAAAAGGAUUAGAUACCCUUGUAGUCCACGCUGUAAACGAUGAUCACUGGAUAUUGGCAGUGUCGACCCUGCCAGUGUCGAAGCUAACGCGUUAAGUGAUCCGCCUGGGAAGUACGAACGCAAGUUUA